UGAGUGCUUGCACUCAGCGUUUUAAGUGCGAGUGGCGAACGGGUGAGUAACACGUGGGCAAUCUGCCCAAAAGUGGGGGAUAACACUUGGAAACAGGUGCUAAUACCGCAUCAACCGACUGACCGCAUGGUCGGUCGGGCAAAGACGGCGUAAGCUGUCGCUUUUGGAUGAGCCCGCGGCGUAUUAACUAGUUGGUAAGGUAACGGCUUACCAAGGUGAUGAUACGUAGCCGAACUGAGAGGUUGAUCGGCCACAUUGGGACUGAGACACGGCCCAAACUCCUACGGGAGGCAGCAGUAGGGAAUCUUCCACAAUGGACGCAAGUCUGAUGGAGCAACGCCGCGUGUAUGAAGAA
rnacentral:rRNA from 1 species